UACAUGGGGUGCAAACGUUGCUCGGAAUUAUUGGGCGUAAAGCGCACGUAGGCGGUUCGUUAAGUCGGAUGUGAAAGCCCUCGGCUCAACUGAGGAAGUGCACCCGAAACUGGCGAGCUUGAGUACGAAAGAGGAUCGCGGAAUUCCCGGUGUAGAGGUGAAAUUCGUAGAGAUCGGGAAGGAACACCAGUGGCGGAAGGCGGCUACCUGGACCAGCACUGACACGUGAGGCACGAAAGCGUGGGGAGCAAACAGG
rnacentral:rRNA from 1 species